rnacentral:tRNA from 1 species
GCCCCUGUCGUUCAGUGGCAGGACUCAUUCUUGGUACGAAUGGGACCCAGGUUCGAUUCCUGGUGGGGGCUCCA